AGCGAACGCUGGCGGCGUGCCUAACACAUGCAAGUCGAACGUGAAAAGGGAAACCUGAGUAAAGUGGCGUACGGGUGAGUAACGCGUAGGUAAUCUACCCCAGAAUCUGGAAUAACCUGCCGAAAGGCGGGCUAAUACUGGAUAGAGCGAGGGAACUCGAAAGAGAGUUUUUCGGGAAAGGGAGCCCGCAAGGGCCUUCGUUCUGGGAUGAGCCUGCGUCUCAUUAGCUAGUUGGUAAGGUAACGGCUUACCAAGGCGAUGAUGAGUAGCUGGUCUGAGAGGAUGAUCAGCCACACUGGAACUGAAACACGGUCCAGACUCCUACGGGAGGCAGCAGUGGGGAAUCUUGCGCAAUGGACGAAAGUCUGACGCAGCCACGCCGCGUGAGUGAAGAAGGCCUUCGGGUUGUAAAGCUCUGUCGGAUGGGACGAACAUCUUCAUAGUGAAUAGCUAUGAGGACUGACGGUACCAUCAAAGGAAGCACCGGCUAACUCCGUG
rnacentral:rRNA from 1 species